CCUACGGGGGAAAAAUUUAUUGCUAUUAGAUGAGCCUAUAUUAGAUUAGCUAGUUGGUGGAGUAAUAGCCUACCAAGGCAAUGAUCUAUAGCUGAUCUGAGAGGAUGAUCAGCCACACUGGAACUGAGAUACGGUCCAGACUCCUACGGGAGGCAGCAGUGGGGAAUAUUGGACAAUGGGCGAAAGCCUGAUCCAGCCAUGCCGCAUGAGUGAAGAAGGCCUUUGGGUUGUAAAGCUCUUUUAGUGAGGAAGAUAAUGACGGUACUCACAGAAGAAGUCCUGGCUAACUCCGUGCCAGCAGCCGCGGUAAUACGGAGAGGGCUAGCGUUAUUCGGAAUUAUUGGGCGUAAAGGGCGCGUAGGCGGAUUAGUAAGUUAAAAGUGAAAUCCCAAGGCUCAACCUUGGAAUUGCUUUUAAAACUGCUAAUCUAGAGAUUGAAAGAGGAUAGAGGAAUUCCUAGUGUAGAGGUGAAAUUCGUAAAUAUUAGGAGGAACACCAGUGGCGAAGGCGUCUAUCUGGUUUAAAUCUGACGCUGAGGCGCGAAGGCGUGGGGAGCAAACAGGAUUAGAUACCCUGGUAGUCCACGCUGUAAACGAUGAAUGUUAAAUAUGGGAAGUUUUACUUUCUGUAUUACAGCUAACGCGUUAAACAUUCCGCCUGGGGACUACGGUCGCAAGAUUAAAACUCAAAGGAAUUGACGGGGACCCGCACAAGCGGUGGAGCAUGUGGUUUAAUUCGAUGCAACGCGAAAAACCUUACCACUCCUUGACAUGGAAAUUAUACCUAUUCGAAGGGAUAGG
rnacentral:rRNA from 1 species